rnacentral:sRNA from 1 species
GUCGGUUGAUCGGGACCCGUUGAUCCCGGACCCUGAACAGCCCCCCCAGCCCCGCCAGGAUUGCGGGCCCGGUCAGUCGACAAAGAUCCAAGCGAUCGCGCCCGUGCAACUCCCCCCCGUUGCACGGGCG